GAGGAAGUAAAAGUCGUAACAAGGUUUCCGUUGGUGAACCAGCGGAGGGAUCAUUACAGAGUUGCAAAACUCCCACAAACCAUCGCGAAUCUUACCCGUACGGUUGCCUCGGCGCUGGCGGUCCGGAAGGCCCUCGGGCCCCCGGACCCUCGGGUCUCCCGCUCGCGGGAGGCUGCCCGCCGGAGUGCCGAAACCAAACUCUUGAUAUUUUAUGUCUCUCUGAGUAAACUUUUAAAUAAGUCAAAACUUUCAACAACGGAUCUCUUGGUUCUGGCAUCGAUGAAGAACGCAGCGAAAUGCGAUAAGUAAUGUGAAUUGCAGAAUUCAGUGAAUCAUCGAAUCUUUGAACGCACAUUGCGCUCGCCAGUAUUCUGGCGAGCAUGCCUGUUCGAGCGUCAUUUCAACCAUCAAGCUCUGCUUGCGUUGGGGAUCCGCGGCUGCCCGCGGUCCCUCAAAAACAGUGGCGGGCUCGCUAGUCACACCGAGCGUAGUAACUCUACAUCGCUAUGGUCGUGCGGCGGGUUCUUGCCGUAAAACCCCCAAUUUCUAAGGUUGACCUCGGAUCAGGUAGGAAUACCCGCUGAACUUAAGCAUAUCAAUAAGCGGAGGAA
rnacentral:rRNA from 1 species